rnacentral:rRNA from 1 species
UACAGAGGUCUCAAGCGUUGUUCGGAUUCAUUGGGCGUAAAGCGUGCGCAGGCGGUUGGUCGUGUCCUGUGUGAAAUCCCCGGGCUUAACCUGGGAACUGCAUUUGUGACUGGCGGACUGGAGUAUGGCAGAGGGGGGGUAGAAUUCCACGUGAUAGCAGUGAAAUGCGUAGAGAUGUGGAGGAAUACCCGAUGGCGAAGGCAGCCCCCUGGGCCAUACUG